rnacentral:rRNA from 1 species
UACGUAGGGGGCAAGCGUUGUCCGGAAUCAUUGGGCGUAAAGAGCGUGUAGGCGGCCCGAUAAGUCCGCUGUGAAAGUCCAGGGCUCAACCCUGGAAUGCCGGUGGAUACUGUCGGGCUCGAAUCCGGAAGAGGUGAGUGGAAUCCUGGUGUAGCGGUGAAAUGCGCAGAUAUCAGGAGGAACACCGAUGGCGAAGGCAGCUCGCUGGGACGGUACUGACGCUGAGGCGCGAAAGCGUGGGGAGCAAACAGG